AUUGAACGCUGGCGGCAUGCUUUACACAUGCAAGUCGAACGGUAACAGGGUGCUUGCACCGCUGACGAGUGGCGAACGGGUGAGUAAUGCGUCGGAACGUGCCGAGUAGUGGGGGAUAACGCAGCGAAAGUUGUGCUAAUACCGCAUACGUACUGAGGUAGAAAGUGGGGGACCUUCGGGCCUCACGCUAUUCGAGCGGCCGACGUCUGAUUAGCUAGUAGGUGGGGUAAAGGCUCACCUAGGCGACGAUCAGUAGCGGGUCUGAGAGGAUGAUCCGCCACACUGGGACUGAGACACGGCCCAGACUCCUACGGGAGGCAGCAGUGGGGAAUUUUGGACAAUGGGCGAAAGCCUGAUCCAGCCAUGCCGCGUGUCUGAAGAAGGCCUUCGGGUUGUAAAGGACUUUUGUCAGGGAGGAAAUCCCUAGUGCUAAUAACACUGGGGGAUGACAGUACCUGAAGAAUAAGCACCGGCUAACUACGUGCCAGCAGCCGCCGUAAUAC
rnacentral:rRNA from 1 species